GCAGCGUGCGGCGUGGGCCGCGCGCUCCCCAUGGCGGCCGCCCGGCAGGGAAGAAGGCGGCAGGAAGCGUCCCAAGGUACCGGCAAGGCCUUCAAAUGCCCCCGAAGGCUUUGUCGGUGGGCCUGCCGCGCUCGGCUGCUCCCGGCGUGGGCAGGAGGCAAAGCACAGUAGGCCUUGCCAGUGGGAAGUGCUGGAGAUCGGGAGUCGUGCCUUUGAACGCCUAUAGGGGUCCCACUUAGCAAUUUCAUGUUUGAAAUAUUCUAGACAUGGAUGAUCACACCUAAAUUAGAAGCAAUGCUCAGGACUUCUUAGGAACAAAUAAUACCUUCUGCUAGAAGGUUUCUCAAGUGUGUUGAUGCUUCAUGAACCUGUGUGAAAUAUCUUGAGUGAAAAGAGUUCCUUGUAAAUUGAUUGGUCUCCAGGGAGAAAACCAGCAUGUACAAAGGGUUGGAACUGAUUUAAACAUCAGCUUAUGAUUUGAGUGGCUGAUUCAUACUAGAUGACUCCAUAAUACUGUAAUAUAUUAUCUUGAAAGUGAAAUUGAGAGAAGCAAUGGCUAAAACCACAUCUUCAAUGAUCGUGUUUAAACAGGAACCUCAUUGUUGAAACUGAAAUUUCUUAAAAACUGCUGUGAUUUAUUUCUAUGUCUGUGUAGAUUAAUUGAAAUAAAA